rnacentral:rRNA from 1 species
GAAUAUUGGACAAUGGGCGAAAGCCUGAUCCAGCAAUGCCGCGUGAGUGAUGAAGGCCUUAGGGUUGUAAAGCUCUUUUACCAGGGAUGAUAAUGACAGUACCUGGAGAAUAAGCUCCGGCUAACUCCGUGCCAGCAGCCGCGGUAAUACGGAGGGAGCUAGCGUUGUUCGGAAAUACUGGGCGUAAAGCGCACGUAGGCGGCGUCGUAAGUCAGGGGUGAAAUCCCGGGGCUCAACCCCGGAACUGCCCUUGAAACUGCAGCGCUAGAAUCUUGGAGAGGCGAGUGGAAUUCCGAGUGUAGAGGUGAAAUUCGUAGAUAUUCGGAAGAACACCAGUGGCGAAGGCGACUCGCUGGACAAGUAUUGACGCUGAGGUGCGAAAGCGUGGGGAGCAAACAGG